rnacentral:rRNA from 1 species
UACAGAGGUCCCAAGCGUUGUUCGGAUUUAUUGGGCGUAAAGAGCGUGUAGGCGGCCUGGUAGGUCUGCUGUGAAAACUCGAGGCUCAACCUCGAGAUGUCGGCGGAAACCAUCUGGCUAGAGUCCGGAAGAGGAGAGUGGAAUUCCUGGUGUAGCGGUGAAAUGCGCAGAUAUCAGGAAGAACACCUAUGGCGAAGGCAGCUCUCUGGGACGGUACUGACGCUGAGACGCGAAAGCGUGGGGAGCGAACAGG